GGGUAGGUACCCUAGUGGUCAAAGGGGACAGACUGUAAAUCUGUUGCGCGUGCGCUUCGAAGGUUCGAGUCCUUCCCUGCCCACCA
rnacentral:tRNA from 1 species